rnacentral:rRNA from 1 species
GAUGAACGCUGGCGGCGUGCUUAACACUUGCAAGUCGAACGGUGAAGCCAAGCUUGCUUGGUGGAUCAGUGGCGAACGGGUGAGUAACACGUGAGCAACCUGCCCUGGACUCUGGGAUAAGCGCUGGAAACGGCGUCUAAUACUGGAUAUGAGCCUCUUCCGCAUGGUGGGGGUUGGAAAGAUUUUUUGGUCUGGGAUGGGCUCGCGGCCUAUCAGCUUGUUGGUGAGGUAAUGGCUCACCAAGGCGUCGACGGGUAGCCGGCCUGAGAGGGUGACCGGCCACACUGGGACUGAGACACGGCCCAGACUCCUACGGGAGGCAGCAGUGGGGAAUAUUGCACAAUGGGCGAAAGCCUGAUGCAGCAACGCCGCGUGAGGGAUGACGGCCUUCGGGUUGUAAACCUCUUUUAGCAGGGAAGAAGCGAAAGUGACGGUACCUGCAGAAAAAGCGCCGGCUAACUACGUG